AUACGGAGGGUCCAAGCGUUAUCCGGAAUCAUUGGGUUUAAAGGGUUCGUAGGCGGGUCAAUAAGUCAGAGGUGAAAUCUUGCAGCUUAACUGUAAAAUUGCCUUUGAUACUGUUGACCUUGAAUUACAGUGAAGUGGUUAGAAUAUGUAGUGUAGCGGUGAAAUGCUUAGAGAUUACAUAGAAUACCGAUUGCGAAGGCAGAUCACUAACAGUAUAUUGACGCUGAUGAACGAAAGCGUGGGUAGCGAACGGGAGUAGAUACCCGAGUAGUCC
rnacentral:rRNA from 1 species